CCUACGGGAGGCAGCAGUGAGGAAUAUUGGUCAAUGGACCAGAGUCUGAACCAGCCACGUAGCGUGAAGGAUGACUGCCCUAUGGGUUGUAAACUUCUUUUAUAAAGGAAUAAAACGAGGCACGUGUGCCUUUUUGCAUGUACUUUAUGAAUAAGGAUCGGCUAACUCCGUGCCAGCCGCCGCGGUAAUACGGAGGAUCCGAGCGUUAUCCGGAUUUAUUGGGUUUAAAGGGAGCGUAGAUGGGUUGUUAAGUCAGUUGUGAAAGUUUGCGGCUCAACCGUAAAAGUGCAAUUGAUACUGGCAGUCUUGAGUACAGUUGAGGUAGGCGGAAUUCGUGGUGUAGCGGUGAAAUGCUUAGAUAUCACGAAGAACCCCGAUUGCGAAGGCAGCUUACUAAACUAUGACUGACAUUGAUGCUCGAAAGUGUGGGUAUCAAACAGGAUUAGAUACCCCUGUAGUC
rnacentral:rRNA from 1 species